rnacentral:misc_RNA from 1 species
AACGCACAUUGCGCCCGCCAGUACUCUGGCGGGCAUGCCUGUUCGAGCGUCAUUUCAACCCUCAAGCCCCCGGGUUUGGUGUUGGAGAUCGGCAAUCGGGCCCCUCGGGGCACGCGCCGUCUCCCAAAUCUAUUGGCGGUCACGCUGUAGCUUCCUAUGCGUAGUAGCACACCUCGCACUGGAAAGCAGCGCGGCCACGCCGUAAAACCCCCAACUUCUGAAGUUUGACCUCGAAUCAGGUAGGAUUACCCGCUGAACUUAA